rnacentral:rRNA from 1 species
UACGGAGGGAGCUAGCGUUGUUCGGAAUUACUGGGCGUAAAGCGCACGUAGGCGGCUUUGUAAGUUAGAGGUGAAAGCCCGGGGCUCAACCCCGGAAUUGCCUUUAAAACUGCAUCGCUUGAAUCCGGGAGAGGUGAGUGGAAUUCCGAGUGUAGAGGUGAAAUUCGUAGAUAUUCGGAAGAACACCAGUGGCGAAGGCGGCUCACUGGACCGGUAUUGACGCUGAGGUGCGAAAGCGUGGGGAGCAAACAGG